rnacentral:rRNA from 1 species
GAGGAGCUUGCUCUUCUUGGAUGAGUUGCGAACGGGUGAGUAACGCGUAGGUAACCUGCCUUGUAGCGGGGGAUAACUAUUGGAAACGAUAGCUAAUACCGCAUAACAAUGGAUGACACAUGUCAUUUAUUUGAAAGGGGCAAUUGCUCCACUACAAGAUGGACCUGCGUUGUAUUAGCUAGUAGGUGAGGUAAUGGCUCACCUAGGCGACGAUACAUAGCCGACCUGAGAGGGUGAUCGGCCACACUGGGACUGAGACACGGCCCAGACUCCUACGGGAGGCAGCAGUAGGGAAUCUUCGGCAAUGGGGGCAACCCUGACCGAGCAACGCCGCGUGAGUGAAGAAGGUUUUCGGAUCGUAAAGCUCUGUUGUAAGUCAAGAACGGGUGUGAGAGUGGAAAGUUCACACUGUGACGGUAGCUUACCAGAAAGGGACGGCUAACUACGUGCCAGCAGCCGCGGUAAUACGUAGGUCCCGAGCGUUGUCCGGAUUUAUUGGGCGUAAAGCGAGCGCAGGCGGUUUGAUAAGUCUGAAGUUAAAGGCUGUGGCUCAACCAUAGUUCGCUUUGGAAACUGUCAAACUUGAGUGCAGAAGGGGAGAGUGGAAUUCCAUGUGUAGCGGUGAAAUGCGUAGAUAUAUGGAGGAACACCGGUGGCGAAAGCGGCUCUCUGGUCUGUAACUGACGCUGAGGCUCGAAAGCGUGGGGAGCGAACAGGAUUAGAUACCCUGGUAGUCCACGCCGUAAACGAUGAGUGCUAGGUGUUGGAUCCUUUCCGGGAUUCAGUGCCGCAGCUAACGCAUUAAGCACUCCGCCUGGGGAGUACGACCGCAAGGUUGAAACUCAAAGGAAUUGACGGGGGCCCGCACAAGCGGUGGAGCAUGUGGUUUAAUUCGAAGCAACGCGAAGAACCUUACCAGGUCUUGACAUCCCGAUGCUAUUUCUAGAGAUAGAAAGUUACUUCGGUACAUCGGUGACAGGUGGUGCAUGGUUGUCGUCAGCUCGUGUCGUGAGAUGUUGGGUUAAGUCCCGCAACGAGCGCAACCCCUAUUGUUAGUUGCCAUCAUUCAGUUGGGCACUCUAGCGAGACUGCCGGUAAUAAACCGGAGGAAGGUGGGGAUGACGUCAAAUCAUCAUGCCCCUUAUGACCUGGGCUACACACGUGCUACAAUGGUUGGUACAACGAGUUGCGAGUCGGUGACGGCGAGCUAAUCUCUUAAAGCCAAUCUCAGUUCGGAUUGUAGGCUGCAACUCGCCUACAUGAAGUCGGAAUCGCUAGUAAUCGCGGAUCAGCACGCCGCGGUGAAUACGUUCCCGGGCCUUGUACACACCGCCCGUCACACCACGAGAGUUUGUAACACCCGAAGUCGGUGAG